rnacentral:misc_RNA from 1 species
GCGGCUGGAUCCCCUCCUUACAGAUAAACAAAAAAGUGGUUCGAAAGAACCCAUUUCUUUUAUCUCUUUACUCGGCUCCGUUUCUCUUGGUUUCUAGAACAUUGUUGGGUCUGUAGCUCAGUUGGUUAGAGCGCACCCCUGAUAAGGGUGAGGUCGGUAGUUCAAAUCUACCCAGACCCACCAUCUAACUAUUUAGAUGGGGCUGUAGCUCAGCUGGGAGAGCGUCGCGUUCGCAAUGCGAAGGUCGGGAGUUCGAUCCUCCUCAGCUCCACCAAAGCGAUAUGAGUUAGCGAGUUUAAUUCAUAUCCCUUUGAUGGCAAUAAUGUGCUAAAAAGGCAAAAGUUCUUUAACAAAGAGGGAAGCAAAAGACCGCAUAGGUUAAGCGUUUGACGGCAAUGACCAGAAGAAGGCAGACGAAGAAGAGGCAUCUUCGGAGUGUGAAAGAAUCAGGGAAAAGCAGUCAGAGGCGAGAGCUAUGAGGUUAAAGGUAUAUUGCAAAGCAAAGAAACACAGAAAGCACAAGAAAAGAGUCUUGAGGGUUAUCAAGUCAACAAAGAAAGUGCAUACGGUGGAUGCCUAGGCAGUAGGAGGCGAAGAAGGACGUGGAAGGCUGCGAAAAGCGUCGGUGAGUUGUCAAACGAGCGUUGACCCGGCGAUGU